GAAUGCAUUACGCGGUCCCUAACUGUGGGCUGGUUUCCCAGAGAGAACCGGUGUCCUAGAUCUCCCCGGAAAACUCUCCUCAGACCGGGUUUCCUGGCUGUGGGCCAGGGAGAGUCAGCAGUGAGCAGCGCAGCGGCGGGCGCCACAGCCAGGCAUCCCUGGAACCUCCCAGGCGUCACACUCCUCAGCCAGUUCUGCUCACCUGUGAAUCUGAACUAAGAGCCCUGGAUGGUGAAGAGAGGAAACUGUAGCAAAGGAUCCAGAGUUGCCAUGGACGUGGAGUCUCUUCACAACAGUAAACUCUAACUAAGACAACAUUUGUCAGGGACCUCCUUUCUCAAAACACAGCAUUGUUUCACCAUCUAAUUAUCUUGCCUUCUGCAUGGUACACAGUUAAGGUAUGUAUCAGAAAGUUUUUGUUUAUUCUUCUGAUCAUCCACAAAAGGAUAUUUCAUCAUCAACAGCAACAACAAGCCUCUGCUGAGAGUGUCAUUCUGGAGAAUUGUUAGUUUAAUAAUGGUAACAAAUAUAACCAGAAAUUGGUAAUUGGAUAUUUUCAGUAUUACAACAAUCUCUAUUAGCUUUAAUUGUAUUCAUUUUCCACUGAAUCUUCACAUAUUUGGUAAAUAUGGGCAAGUCUUGAAUCAAAGGCCCAAAGCAUUUUUCCCAUCAGUGGGUGAAUACCCAAGAGAAGUCUUAUACACAUAAUGAUCUUGGGAAUGAUUUAUGAAUCCUCACAAUGCAUACUUUUUUUAACACAAAUGAUACUACAGAAAAUUGUAAUAAAUGCUGAUGUAUUAAUCACAAAUAUUAUUCUAUUGACACAUUAAAUCUGAACUAUCAUAAAAAGUUUGCAAUUGGAGACGGACUUUAUGAGUAUAGAGACUGACAAGUGCUUUAAUUUGUAUUCAAGCAUCAAAGUCCAAUAAGAAACCCACUCUAGACAACAAUGCACAAAAGACGAGAGUGAUAACUAUCUUGAUACUAAGUACAACUUAUGAUAAAAACAAAUCUAUAUUGGAAAGAAAACCUACCAAUGCAGGAAAUUCAACAACAAUGGACUGGCUUCCAGAGAGAACAUGACAGGGAUAGGCUCCCAGCAUUCCCAGAAACUGAAAGCCAUCGACAAAUGUUUUCCUUUAUGAGAUGUGUAGUGGUCAUAGAGUCUCUUCACAUAGACUCUUCUCCUAGCUGCCUAUGAGACAGUCUUCUGUUUGCCUUCAGAACAAGAUAUAGAACUCUCAGCUCCUCCAGCGCUAUGCCUGGCUGUACAAUGCUAUCCUUCCUACUAUGAUGAUAAUGGACUGAGCUUUUGAACCUAUAAGACUGCACCUGUUAAAUAUCC
rnacentral:lncRNA from 1 species